rnacentral:piRNA from 1 species
CAAGCUGGAGUAACUGACACUGAAUGG